CUCCUAGACCCUAUUUAAGGGCAGACUGUCACUAAGGAAGGAUUUCUCUCUGGAGAUUGCUCCUUGUGAAGUGUUUUGUGAGCCUACAACACUGGUUACUGAUUCUUCCAGUGCUCCAUGUGGGCUCCCUGGGGAGCUGCACUCCAUGUUUUGGAUCCCCCAGUUUUGGAAAAUAGACAUUCAAAGAUGAAGAACUGACUUUAAAAUGGAAAAUCUUCCCUGUUCUAGUUGGAAAUAUUAAAUGUCUGCAGGACACAGCAGAUGAAGGCAAAAUGCUGCUUCACCAGCCUGUGUUCAGAAUACUUUUUAGUAAAGAUGUCAGAGAGAAACAAAGAAUAUCUAACGAAUAUUCCACAUUGAAGCUAUGGCAGUCUCUUUUGGAAAGUAUAACAAAGUUUCAGUGGCAGGAAAGCAAAAGACUCCAGUAGUCAUUUUUCCUUGAUCUUCAUGUUGUCCUAUAAGAAUCUCCAAGCCCACUCUGAGAAACUUGAUACUGAACAUGGGAAUAUUUUUCCCCAGUAGACAAUUUGUCAGAACACAGUGAAAUUGGAUUACAUUCAUCAAUGUAUUUACCCCAAAUAAAAUUAACAAAGUACAUAAAAAUGUUAAAGAAUUCAUUUGAAUGUGCUAAAUGACUGUGUUGGUAGUCUACAUACACUGCUUCAGCAUGGCGAAUGAAGAACAGUCCAUCACAAAGCAGCCCAUAGCUUCACACUGUGCUAGGAAGCGUUGGAUCAAAGGGCUGAUGUGUUCUACCAG
ensembl:lncRNA